rnacentral:SRP_RNA from 1 species
GCCAAGCGCGGUGGCGCGUGCCUGUAGUCCCAGCUACUCGGGAGGUUGAGGUGGGAGGAUUGCUUGAACCCAGGAGUUCUGAGCUGUAGUGCGCUAUGCCGAUUGGGUGUCUGCACUAAGUUCGGCAUCAAUAUGGUGACCUCCUGGGAGCAGGGGACCACUGGGUUGCCUAAGGAGGGGUGAACCAGCCUAGGUUGGAAACGGAGCAGGUUAAAACUCCCGUGCUGAUCAUAGUGGGAUCGCACCUGUGAAUAGCCACUGCACUCCAGCCUGGGCAACACAGUGAGACCCCGUCUCU